rfam:Triticum aestivum genome assembly, contig: Triticum_aestivum_CS42_TGACv1_scaffold_474031_6AL
CAAGUACUCCCACCGUCCCAAAAUUCUUGUCAUUUGUCUAAAUACAGAUGUAUCAAGUCACAUUUUAGUAUUAGAUAUAUCCAUAUUUAGACGAAUCUAAGACAACAAUUUUGGGACGGAGGGAGAACUAU